GGGCUCGUAGUUCAGUGGCAGAACGCGCCGUUCACAUCGGCGAGGCCAGAGGUUCAAUCCCUCUCGAGCCCACCA
rnacentral:tRNA from 1 species